rnacentral:rRNA from 1 species
UGAGCUCAGGCAAGGCUACCCG